CAAAGGCAGGAAUUCUUGAAUGAAAAGUAUCAGUUGAGUAGUUAGGGUCUUGCCUGAAGGAUAAAGAGCAAACGAAUCUGGAUGCUGGGAAGAAUCACAUGCAGGCAGUGCCCAGUGGGAAAGAAUUCCUGGACAGACAUUGAGCCAUCUCUGCAGCCACUGCUCCCUGGAACAAACGGAGGACAGGCAGGAAAAGUUGGUGAUGCUCGUCCCAGGUCCCUACCCUGCUCCAGCACCAACUAUACUUUCCUACCCAGAAGAGAGAAUGUGUUGACUGCCACAGCUAAUCAACUCGGACAACACAAGCUCACUUGGGUCACAGAUGCUCCCUGAAUGUCUCCACUUUGGCCUUACCAGCAUUUGCUCUUCUGGCAAGAGUACCAUGUGGAUAUUCUCCUCCCCUGCUUCAACCCACAUGGCAUCAAUGCAGGGGACUCCGAUCCCA